GACGAACGCUGGCGGCGUGCUUAACACAUGCAAGUCGAACGGAAAGGCCCUGCUUUUGUGGGGUGCUCGAGUGGCGAACGGGUGAGUAACACGUGAGUAACCUGCCCUUGACUUUGGGAUAACUUCAGGAAACUGGGGCUAAUACCGGAUAGGAGCUCCUGCUGCAUGGUGGGGGUUGGAAAGUUUCGGCGGUUGGGGAUGGACUCGCGGCUUAUCAGCUUGUUGGUGGGGUAGUGGCUUACCAAGGCUUUGACGGGUAGCCGGCCUGAGAGGGUGACCGGCCACAUUGGGACUGAGAUACGGCCCAGACUCCUACGGGAGGCAGCAGUGGGGAAUAUUGAACAAUGGGCGGAAGCCUGAUGCAGCAACGCCGCGUGCGGGAUGACGGCCUUCGGGUUGUAAACCGCUUUCGCCUGUGACGAAGCGUGAGUGAAGGUAAUGGGUAAAGAAGCACCGGCUAACUACGUG
rnacentral:rRNA from 1 species